UACGUAGGUGGCAAGCGUUGUCCGGAUUUACUGGGCGUAAAGGGCGUGCAGGCGGUUUGUUAAGUGCAGGGUGAAAGCUCCCGGGCUCAACUGGGAGAGGUCCUUGCAUACUGGCAAACUCGAGGGAGGCAGAGGAAAGUGGAAUUCCCGGUGUAGUGGUGAUAUGCGUAGAUAUCGGGAGGAACACCUGUGGCGAAGGCGGCUUUCUGGGCCUUACCGUGA
rnacentral:rRNA from 1 species